UACAGAGGGGGCAAGCGUUGUUCGGAAUUACUGGGCGUAAAGGGCGCGUAGGCGGCCCGCUAAGUCGAACGUGAAAUCCCCGAGCUCAACUCGGGAACUGCGUCCGAUACUGGCGGGCUUGAAUCCGGGAGAGGGGAUGCGGAAUUCCAGGUGUAGCGGUGAAAUGCGUAGAUAUCUGGAGGAACACCGGUGGCGAAGGCGGCAUCCUGGACCGGCAUUGACGCUGAGGCGCGAAAGCUAGGGGAGCAAACGGGG
rnacentral:rRNA from 1 species